rnacentral:misc_RNA from 1 species
AAAAAAGCCAUAUAUUUUUCAUAAGCCAUUGUAACAAGUUUGUCAUGAGCACGUUGUUCAAGUUUCUUUUCCUGAAGUUCUUUUGUUACUGAGGCAGAUUUCAACAAUUUAUCUAGCAAACCUUUCUUAUUUGAAACCUGUCCAUGGUACUUAUCCUCUAAGCUGAAAAUCUCCCCACUGAUUCCUUCAUCCUCUAUUUGCAUAUCA